rnacentral:rRNA from 1 species
AAUUUAAAGUCUAAUCUGCCCACUGAUGAGUAUUAAAGGGCUGCAGUAUAUUGACUGUACAAAGGUAGCAUAAUCAUUAGUCUUUUAAUUGAAGACUUGUAUGAACGAUUUGAUGAAAUAUAAACUGUCUCUAAUUUAUUAGUAAAAAUUAAUAUUUUAGUUAAAAAGCUAAAAUAAAAUUAAAAGACGAGAAGACCCUAUAGAGUUUUAUAUUUGUUUAUAUUAUGAUAAAAUAGAUAGUUAAUUAUAAAAAUAUAAUUAAAUAUCGUAUUGGGGUGAUAAAAAAAUUAAAUAAACUUUUUUUUUUAUUAACAUAGAUAAAUGAUUAAAUGAUCCAUUAUUUAUGAUUAAAAGAAAAAAUUACCUUAGGGAUAACAGCGUAAUAUUUUUUUUUAGUACGAAUAAAAAAAAAGUUUGCGACCUCGAUGUUGGAUUAAGAUAAAAAUUAAAUGCAAAAGUUUAAAAUUUUGAUCUGUUCGAUCAUUAAAAUCUUACAUG